GACAGAGGGUGCUAGCGUUGUUCGGAAUUACUGGGCGUAAAGGGCGCGUAGGCGGCUCGUUUAGUCGGGUGUGAAAUCCCGGGGCUCAACCCCGGAACUGCAUUCGAUACUGGCGGGCUAGAGACCGGAAGAGGUGGGUGGAAUACCCAGUGUAGAGGUGAAAUUCGUAGAUAUUGGGUGGAACACCGGUGGCGAAGGCGGCUCACUGGUCCGGUUCUGACGCUGAGGUGCGAAAGCGUGGGGAGCAAACAGG
rnacentral:rRNA from 1 species